rnacentral:rRNA from 1 species
UACGUAGGGACCAAGCGUUGUCCGGAAUCAUUGGGCGUAAAGAGCGUGUAGGCGGCUUGUUAAGUCUUGCGUGAAAUCUCGGGGCUCAACCCCGAGCGGUCGUGAGAAACUGGCAGGCUAGAGUGCGGGAGAGGAGAGUGGAAUUCCUGGUGUAGCGGUGAAAUGCGCAGAUAUCAGGAAGAACACCCGUGGCGAAGGCGGCUCUCUGGAACGCAACUGACGCUGAGACGCGAAAGCGUGGGGAUCAAACAGG